AAACAUAACCGACCCUAUAUUCUUUAUGGGAGUAAAAAUGGAGUCGGCGUAGGGCGAGCGAGCCGCGGUGAACGCAGACUGACGUGCGUUUGGUAUUUCUCUUUUGUUUGUUUGAUUUUUCUGCGAAGACAGAUUUUUUUGACACCAAGUUGGGGGCAUAAGGUAUUUUUGCGGUCAUCAUGGCUCUCCAAACUGCCCGCCUGUUUGGCAUGUCAAGCGAGUCCAGUCCUUACACCGCAUCGGGCUCACAGCCUACUUAUACGGCCGGAAUAUUUGCCAGUCUUGGUGCGUCAAUUGUCGCAGUGGAGGCCCACGCUGAGCCCGAUCACGACAGAGUGACCGUAGAAGUUUGUGUAAUCUUCCUGAAGUUGGGUGAAAUAGACACCCUUAAAGAACAAUUCUCGGCAGACGUCCUGGUCAAAGCAAAAUGGCGGGAACCGGAACUCGACCGGAAAGGCAAGAAUAAGGACGAGCUCAUUGAUGAGGAUGAAAUCGACUUUGAAAAAUACUGGAACCCGAAACUGUUCGUAGAAAACACUGUUGGUGACCCCAAGGAGGUUCGGUGGCGCACUCUAGCGUUCUCUUCUGAAGGGGACGCCUUCAUCUGCGAAAAUCAAAGGCUCAAGGGGACAUUCGUAGAAAAUUUAGAAUUGAACGAUUUCCCCUUUGAUGUUCAGGAUCUGACCGUGACGGUGACUUCAGAGAGACCGGCCUCGGAGCUCAACCUCAUUGAGGACCGUAUGGAGCUCCACCGUGUCUAUAAACAAUCGUUCAUUGACGAACAGGAGUGGAGUUUAUACAAACAUUUAGAGUCUGAAAGCAAAUUUUUAGCCGAACCGCAUGGGGACCCAUCGGUAAAAAGAGUGUUGUUAUCAGUUAAAUGCCGGGCAGCAAGGCGACCUUGGUUUUUCGUUUGGAAUAUAUUUCUUGUUACGUUCCUGUUCUGCAGUUUGUCGUUUGCUACCUUCUCAGUGGAGUAUAAUCUACCACAGAACCGUCUACAGCUGUCAUUUACCUUGGUGUUAACGGCGGUCGCUUUCAAGUUUGUCAUCAACCAAAGUUUACCACGUGUGUCCUACCUAACAUACUUAGACAAAUAUCUCCUGGGUUCUAUGUGCCAGCUGGCCAUCGUCUGCGCGUGGCAUUCCAUAGUCGCUAAGAUCGACAGCAAACAUGAUGCGAAAGUUGCAGAACUGGUGUUUCUCACCGCCUUAGCCGUCAUCUAUAUUGGAUUCAAUGCCGGGAUUUGCUUUCACAUUUAUGCAUUUGCUUGCAAAAGACGAAGAAUUAUGAAGCAGAAAGACAGAGAAUACAUGGUCAAGAAUUUUCUACGUAAUAUGCACAGGAGAGUGUUGCCCGCCACCAAUUAUCAAAGCAGUACUCUUCAAGCUCCGCCAGCGGGGGGCACGCCAUCCACCCCCCAGAUAUCACCGCAAACUCCCACAACAGGACACCGCCAGGCGGGGCCAAGCAUCCUUCAUUCGUGUAGCACUGCCCCGGUUCUUCUGACCACCGAGACAACCACCACGGAUUCCGACAAAAUAAAGAAAAAGGGGGAGAGUACAGUGGCGGCACCUGGUGGUCCUUGCCAAAAUAACUGCGUGGAAAACACGGUCAGUGAUAAGACACCACCUGAGAAACCUGAACGUAGUAAACCGGUGAUAUUCACGUAGCGUUAUGUAAUGACGUGAUUGUGUGACGCCACCCCUUUUUAUGAAUGUUAUUAAAAAAACAUGACGAUGAUGCAGAAUUUAAAAGGUAAAUACGUAACGACAAGUCCAUAUAGAGUUGACAAAAUCCCGUAAGUUGUACAUAGAUUAUUUCAUGACCCGGAUGCUGUUGAUGGUUAGUGCUGAUUUAUUGUUGCCAUGGAGACAAUGUGAUGUAAUCUAACCCCAUAUUUACAAGCAUAUUGACGCCACAUUGACGUCAUGGAUACAAAUCAAGACGAAACGUCUGCGGAUGCGGCUUAAAAAGGUAAAGGACGUUUUGAUAAGAGUCGUAUUUGAGGAUUAUGUUGAAGAAACUGUCUGGUGAAUCAAGCUGGGGCAUCUGACGAAAAAAACGGCGAUGCAUCCAGAUGAAGUUGCUGGCCAAAUAGGGUGUAUUUUUAAAAGAAUGUAAUGCUAUAGAAAAAGACAGUAUAAUGCAAGUUCUCGGUGUUACGUGUGUAACCCACCGUUAGAUUUUCAACUUUCAAAUACAGAAUGCAGAAAAGUUAAUGAAAGCGCCAAUGGUGAAUUUGAGAACUUCUUAUAAGAGUUGGUCUUGAUAGAUGUUUGUCUGUGUGUUGUGUUUCUUCCAACAGAUUUGAUGACUCACUUCAAGUUUAUUGUCUAUUUAUGGAUUUCUAAUCGCUGCAGCUUGGUUGAUUUAAAAAAACUGUGAUAUAGUGUUCAACUCGAAGCGAGUCACAUCCGAAAUGAGAAACUACCAGUGGGACUAGGGCAUAAAUCUUGUCAUAUAGGACUUGAGCCCCGAUAUUCCUCCUGAGCCGCGUUCAAGCUGUGCCUAGUUUGUGGUUUGAAUACCAUGUGGCAAUAUAUAGUGCAAGGUCGGAUGAAAUAUCCGGUAAAGCCUUAGUUGAUAAUAUAUAUCGUUCACAAAUGUGCGUCUUUGCGCCUUACCUAUGCUAAACUUGCAACAAACGAUAGUGAUGACGUUGACAUGUAACUAUCAAGUGAUAUAAACGUAGAACAGCGCUUUCGUUUUCACAAAUUAAAAACGAAACAUGCCGGUAUUUAAUUUAUCUUGUAGUUUUAUUAUUCUCCUUCAUUAAUGUAGGAAGGAAGGUAAAUUUAGCGACAGGAGCCAGUGCUUGACAAGCAACCUGUGGCGAUGGGCUUUGCCUAAUAUACACCUUUUUAAAGUUACUCUGAAGCAAUUACCAACUGCUUAAGGCGCUGUUAUUCCUGCAUGGCGAAAUGUACGCUGUAUGUAAUAUACAUAAUAUGCACGAUUAUUAUGAUGCUGGUACUCCAGUACUCACCUUAAAAAUUACGAGACUCAGAAAACCCGCUGUGCUUUUUAUGGUGUAAUUUCCUUGUUGUCAAUGCCGAAUAAUGAAUGAUAGAAUAGCAAACUGCAUAAGCGUGUUGAUACUAUAUUUGCGCUUGUGAUGCUACAUUAACUGUAAAUGUAUAAAUGUGGCCUUGCACAGCACUCUCUUUCUCAGAGUUAUACAUGUUACUCUUCUUUACACAGCGUACGCUUAUCAUAACUGUUUUAUUUCAACGGGUAUCGCAAGCACGUGCUCGUGUAAGGGGCGACAUGGGGGAGGCUUGGAUAUUCAGGGUGCCGAUAUGGUAUUUCGCAAUGUACGUUCUAGUGGAGCAAGCCGAGUUCGCAACUGAUUCUUUGUAGUACUGGCGUUGCUGCACCUUGUUAUAUGUAGACAUAUCUUGCCUCUGUGAACAAAUACCGUACUCGCCAAAGGUGUUAAGUUUUAAGACUACUAAGUCUCUUAUCAUGUUUGUUAUGCUUGUGAUUCGGUACUGAUAAAAUAUUGAAUUUACAUACCAACCUUUAGCAGCAAGUAGAAACAAUGAAGCUUUGAAUAUUAGGGUUGUUCACGUUUUCGAAACCAAUGAAACCACGUACUUCAUUGGUCUGUGUAUAUACAUAUAUGUACGUUUGAUAAGCAUACAUUAAGUUCUUUCAUUGGUGUGAUCCACUUUGUGUCUAGACGUACUGGGUUCGUAAGUGGUUCUGUUAGGUUAGUUGUACUGUUUAUAUGCCUUUAAACGUUAAGUUUUGUAUCGGACAUAUUGUCUGCAAGAGGUCUGUUCAGUUUGUUUCUGUGUUCAGUUGGUACAUAUUCUGUACACGUUUAUUGUUAUCAACUUGCUUAGCACCAUGGGUGUUGCCGUUAAAUCUCUGAAGCACUUUGUUCAGGCAACUCUUCGGGCAUAAAAGCCUGAUAGGACAUCUGGGGGUCUUGGUGGAAAGGGGGUGAAACGCUUUAGAUACAAAAUAAGCAGAACAACGUAGAUUACAGUGGGUAAGACACUGAUCCAACGUAAUGUUUUCCGGACUUUAAUUCCAGGACUUAUUGUUGAUUUGAAAAGUAGUGGCAAAAAACGGCGGAUGGCAUUGGGCAACAAUUCUUUCUGGUUUACGGCAUCCGUUAGGAAAAAACUGAUUUUGUCUGAUUUAUCAGAUAAGAGACUUCCUCGUUCCUGCACAGAUUUUCUAGACAUCAGUUUAUCUACAUGCCUAGUAUACCUCUGUAAAAAAGGAAGCCCCAUCUAUCAUCUUAUCAAAAUGCCUCUAGCAGUUUGGGUAUGUAUAUGACGUAGCAUCUUUCAAUACUGAUAGGCCAAAUGAAAAGCCGGAUGUGACGUAAACAGAAUCACCAAAAUUUGUGUCAGCGAUUUGGGCCAAGAAAACGUGUAUUUAACAUUGAUUUUGCAUUGGAUUUGCUGCAUUUGAUCUGAAAAAAAAAACUUUUGUAAAAUAUCUUAUUUGAAUUUACUCUGGUAACAACGCAGAGAACACAAUCAUUAUUUCUACUUCUAGUUUGAAAGGCCGUGGCCUCUUGUUCGUAUUUCUAACUAAGGAUAAGAACAAAAAUAUUAUACCUCACAUAAUCCUAUUUUUUUCAAGGGGAACAAUAACUUUUUUACAAUAAUAAUAUUCGUGCAACACGAUGCAGUCUCUAUACGCUUGAAUGGAAAGGCUUCAAACAUAGUUUUUUUUCGAAAGUUGCACAAGUAAUUGACUUGUUCCACGUAACAGCUUGUAAAAUACCAAGGUUGAGCGAUUUCCGUAUCGGAAGUCUUGCAAGACAUGGAAUGGUUAGGCUACUACGUGGUGUUGAGAGUCUUGGUCGAACGAUUAACCUAUGUUACCUUAUGUAGGCCUAUUUAUUUCGGAUUAUGAAAUAAAAUAAAGAAACUCUCUAACAUAAACAAAAUACAAAUUAUAGACACUGCAUCACGGGGAGAUAAGGUCCAUUAAAUAGCAUAAUAGUACGAAAUAUCAGAAGGUUGUGACCUCAAUUCAUCAAUCACGGGAUUGGUGCCAAGUGUGGGCUUGUUAAUUGAAAAUGAUCCAAAAAUAUCUACCACGCUUGCUCGACAGAGAAAUUGG
rnacentral:misc_RNA from 1 species